rnacentral:tRNA from 1 species
GUCGCAAGUCACAAGCGGGUAUCUGCUUGGUUUCCGGUACCAAAGGUCGCAGGUUCGAUUCCUGUCGGGGGCACCA